rnacentral:tRNA from 1 species
CGGAGUGUGGUGUAACGGUAGCAUAAAUGCUUUGGGAGCAUUCAGUCCGGGUUCAAAUCCCGGCACUCCGA